GACGUCGAUAUUCGACGUCAUAAACACGAUCAACUUUGGUGUUUAUGACGUCGAUAUUCGACGUCAUAAACACGAUCAACUUUGGUGUUUAUGACGUCGAUAUUCGACGUCAUAAACAUGAUCAACUUUGGUGUUGAUGACGUCGAUAUUCGACGUCAUAAACACGAUCAACUUUGGUGUUGAUGACGUCGAUAUUCGACGUCAUAAACACGAUUAACUUUGAUGUUGAUGACGUCGAUAUUCGACCUCAUAAACACGAUCAACUUUGGUGUUUAUGACGUCGAUAUUCGGCGCAGAAACACGAUCAACUUUGGUGUUUAUGACGUCGAUAUUCGACGUCAUAAACACGAUCAACUUUGGUGUUCAUGACGUCGAGUAUUCGACGUCAGAAACACGAUCAACUUUGGUGUUUAUGACGUCGAUAUUCGACGUC